ACACCCCGAAACUAGACGAGCUACUUUAAAACAGCCCAUGGGGCAAACUCAUCCCUAUUGCAAAACGGUGAGAAGAUUUUAAAGUAGAGGUGACACACCUACCGAGCCUAGAGAUAGCUGGUUAUUCAAAAAACGGAUAUAAGUCCAACUUUAAGUUUUUUUAGUCUACUAAACAAUUAUCAAACUUAAAAGCCAUUCAAAUAAGGUACAGCCUAUUUGAAUAAGGAAACAACCUACAAUAUAGGGUAAUAAUUAAUAAACUGACCAAGUAGGCCUAAAAGCAGCCACCUCCAAAAGCGUCCAAGCUUCCUCAUAAACUAUAUUUUAUCCCACUAUUAACCCCCAACCCCUAAACCCCACUGAAUGACCCCAUACCCAUAUGGAAGACAUCAUGCUAGAACUAGUAACAAGAAGACGAACUUCUCCAAAAUGCAAGUGUAGGCCAAAAUAAACUUCUUGCCGGCAUCUACCACUAUAACAGUACAUUUUCACAAGAAAACUCUACUAACACAAGCGCUAACCUAACACCAGA
rnacentral:rRNA from 1 species